AGCAGCCGCGGUAAUUCCAGCUCCAAUAGCGUAUAUUAAAGUUGUUGCAGUUAAAAAGCUCGUAGUUGAAUUUCAGGCCUGGCUGGACGGUCCGCCCUUCGGGUGAGUACUGUCUGUGGUCGGGUCCUACCUUCUGGCGAAGCGUCAUGGCCUUAACCGGCCGUGGUGGGGAACCAGGACUUUUACUGUGAAAAAUUAGAGUGUUCAAAGCAGGCAAUCGCUUGGAUACAUUAGCAUGGAAUAAUGGAAUAGGACAAUGGUUCUAUUUGUUGGUUUCUAGGACCGUUGUAAUGAUUAAUAGGGAUAGUUGGGGGCAUUAGUAUUCAAUUGUCAGAGGUGAAAUUCUUGGAUUUAUUGAAGACUAACUACUGCGAAAGCAUUUGCCAAGGAUGUUUUCAUUAAUCAAGAACGAAAGUUAGGGGA
rnacentral:rRNA from 1 species